AUGAACGCUGGCGGCGUGCCUAAUACAUGCAAGUCGAGCGAACAGACGAGGAGCUUGCUCCUUUGACGUUAGCGGCGGACGGGUGAGUAACACGUGGAUAACCUACCUAUAAGACUGGGAUAACUUCGGGAAACCGGAGCUAAUACCGGAUAACAUGUUGAACCGCAUGGUUCAACAGUGAAAGAAGGUCUUGCUGUCACUUAUAGAUGGAUCCGCGCCGCAUUAGCUAGUUGGUAAGGUAACGGCUUACCAAGGCAACGAUGCGUAGCCGACCUGAGAGGGUGAUCGGCCACACUGGAACUGAGACACGGUCCAGACUCCUACGGGAGGCAGCAGUAGGGAAUCUUCCGCAAUGGGCGAAAGCCUGACGGAGCAACGCCGCGUGAGUGAAGAAGGUCUUCGGAUCGUAAAACUCUGUUAUUAGGGAAGAACAAAUGUGUAAGUAACUAUGCACGUCUUGACGGUACCUAAUCAGAAAGCCACGGCUAACUACGUG
rnacentral:rRNA from 1 species